rnacentral:rRNA from 1 species
CUACCCUGUAGUUACCCUAUAGCUACCCUGCAGCUACCCUAUAGUUGACAUGUAGCUACCCUGUAGCCGGCUUAUGGCCCGCCGAAGGACCGCUAAAUUCUUGUUUUUUACCACUGUUUCUCUGAAUUGUAAACUUAAAUAAGUUAAAACUUUCAACAACGGAUCUCUUGGUUCUGGCAUCGAUGAAGAACGCAGCGAAAUGCGAUAAGUAAUGUGAAUUGCAGAAUUCAGUGAAUCAUCGAAUCUUUGAACGCACAUUGCGCCCAUUAGUAUUCUAGUGGGCAUGCCUAUUCGAGCGUCAUUUCGACCCUUAAGCCCCUGUUGCUUAGCGUUGGGAAUCUACAGCGUAGUUCCUUAAAGUUAGUGGCGGAGUUAGGGUACACUCUCAGCGUAGUAAUCUUUCUCGCUCGUGUGGUGGCCCUGGCUGCUAGCCGUUAAACCCCUAUAUUUUCUAGUGGUUGACCUCGGAUUAGGUAGGAAUACCCGCUGAACUUAAGCAUAUCAAUAAGCGGAGGAAAAGAAACCAACAGGGAUUGCCCUAGUAACGGCGAGUGAAGCGGCAAUAGCUCAAAUUUGAAAUCUGGCCCUCGUGGUCCGAGUUGUAAUUUGUAGAGGAUGCUUUUGGUGCGGUGCCUUCCGAGUUCCCUGGAACGGGACGCCAAAGAGGGUGAGAGCCCCGUACGGUUGGACACCUACCCUAUAUAUAGCUCCUUCGACGAGUCGAGUAGUUUGGGAAUGCUGCUCUAAAUGGGAGGUAAAUUUCUUCUAAAGCUAAAUACCGGCCAGAGACCGAUAGCGCACAAGUAGAGUGAUCGAAAGAUGAAAAGCACUUUGAAAAGAGGGUUAAAUAGCACGUGAAAUUGUUGAAAGGGAAGCGUUUGCGACCAGACCUUUUCCAGGGGGAUCAUCCGGUGUUCUCACCGGUGCACUUCCCUUGGUUUAGGCCAGCAUCGGUUUU